rnacentral:rRNA from 1 species
CCUACGGGUGGCAGCAGUGGGGAAUAUUGCGCAAUGGGCGAAAGCCUGACGCAGCGACGCCGCGUGAGGGAUGAAGGUCUUCGGAUCGUAAACCUCUGUCAGCAGGGAAGAACGGUCACUGUGCUAAUCAGCAGUGAAUUGACGGUACCUGCAAAGGAAGCACCGGCUAACUCCGUGCCAGCAGCCGCGGUAAUACGGAGGGUGCGAGCGUUAACCGGAAUUACUGGGCGUAAAGCGCGCGUAGGCGGUAUGGCAAGGCAAGGGUGAAAUCCCCGCGCUCAACGUGGGAACUGCCUUUGAAACUGGCAAACUGGAGUGUGGGAGAGGAUAGUGGAAUUCCGGGUGUAGGAGUGAAAUCCGUAGAUAUCUGGAGGAACAGCAGUGGCGAAGGCGACUAUCUGGAACAUAACUGACGCUGAGGAGCGAAAGCGUGGGUAGCAAACAGGAUUAGAUACCCUUGUAGUC